rnacentral:rRNA from 1 species
CAGUAGCCGCGGGAAUACGGAGGGGGCAAGCGUUAUCCGGAAUUAUUGGGCGUAAAGGGUACGUAGGUGGCCUUUUAAGCGUAGGGUAUAAGGCAACGGCUCAACCAUUGUUCGCCCUAUGAACUGGAAGGCUUGAGUGCAGGAGAGGAAAGCGGAAUUCCUAGUGUAGCGGUGGAAUGCAUAGAUAUUAGGAGGAACAUCAGCGGCGAAGGCGGCUUUCUGGACCGCAACUGACACUGAGGUACGAAAGCGUGGGGAGCAAACAGGAUUAGAUACCCCCGUAGUCCCUGUCUCUUAUACA